UACGGGGGGGGCAAGCGUUGUUCGGAAUUACUGGGCGUAAAGGGCGCGUAGGCGGCCUUCUAAGUCGAACGUGAAAUCCCUGGGCUCAACCCAGGAACUGCGUCCGAUACUGGAAGGCUUGAAUCCGGGAGAGGGAUGCGGAAUUCCAGGUGUAGCGGUGAAAUGCGUAGAUAUCUGGAGGAAUACCGGUGGCGAAGGCGGCAUCCUGGACCGGCAUUGACGCUGAGGAGCGAAAGCUAGGGGAGCAAACGGG
rnacentral:rRNA from 1 species